AGCAGCCGCGGUAAUUCUAGCUCCAAUAGCGUAUAUUAAAGUUGUUGCAGUUAAAAAGCUCGUAGUUGAAUUUCGGGGUUAGCAGGUCGGUCGUGCCAUCGGUAUGAACUGGUCUCGCUGAUCCCUCCCUCUUGACGAACUGUGAUGCCAUUAAUUUGGUGUCGCAGGGAAUCAGGACUGUUACUUUGAAAAAAUUAGAGUGUUUAAAGCAGGCUCACGCUUGAAUACAUUAGCAUGGAAUAAUGAAAUAGGACGUUUGAUCCUAUUUUGUUGGUUUCUAGGAUUGACGUAAUGAUUAAUAGGGAUAGUUGGGGGCAUUAGUAUUCAAUUGUCAGAGGUGAAAUUCUUGGAUUUAUUGAAGACUAACUACUGCGAAAGCAUUUGCCAAGGAUGUUUUCAUUAAUCAAGAACGAAAGUUAGGGGAUCGAAGACGAUCAGAUACCGUCGUAG
rnacentral:rRNA from 1 species